UCAAGGUUUUGUCCUUCUGCACCAAAAUUCUCCAGUCAAUACAGGCAUAUUUUUAGAUCACCUAGCAACCGGCCCUCUCCUGAAAUAAAACGUGAAGGCGGGGCAGUGUCAUAUUAAACUUGUGUGUCUGUGCUUCCGCUGGUGCUGUGUGUGUGUGUGUGUGCGUGCGUGUUCCAGAGGAAGGCCUGCGGUUGUUUGUCGGCCCAGGAGGAAGCACUGCCCUCGGAAGCCAUCACCUGCCCACCAGGGUUGGCGCCGGAGCUUACGAGCAGGUGGUGAUGAAGCGCUAGGACGUCUUCCCGGAAGCUUCCGGAGACAAGCGACGCAGCAGAGGUCUAGAACCACAGAGGCAGGGGGAGGUUGGCGAGUGGAUCCAGCCUUGGAGUUUCAUCUCCUCCAGCAGUGCAGGACCCCAGACCUGGUCCUGGAACAACAGGCACGGCAGCAGAACCUCUCGUGUGUUUCUGAAAGACAUGGUUGUCCUCUUGUUAGAUUAGCCUUGUCUUCUUGUUGCCGUGGAGACUAUACCUAUGACAUCAUCUUCAAAGGGACUUGAAUGGAAACUGGAGUUCUAGUUUAGAUGGUCACGAUGGAUCUGUCUGUUGAAUGUCUGCAGAUGUAGGAGAAUGGGAGUUGUUGUAUUUGUAAUAAUUAAGCCUUUCCUGAUAAGGAAAACGCCAUGCUUUUUUGAAAUACAUUCCCUAGUUUCUAGUCUAUUGUUCAGUGAUGUUUCAAUCCUAUUUUGGGUUGCCUUUUAACUUUUUUUGAUUUUUAUAAGCUGCUAAAAGCUGUUGUAUUUGGUCUGUCAAGUCCAACUCUGUUGUUGUUUUGGGGUGAAGACGACACUUUGCUACCCCGACACAGCCCUAUCAGACUCUGGUGAUGGUUUGUGUGCAUGCCUCUGUGUGCGUGACUGUAUGCCCAUCUGAGUCAUUGUCUCUGUUGUAGGUGGCAUUACCACUAUGUCUUUUCCAGUUAACAGUUAAGCCUGUCUACAGCACCAGUCUUGGGGUUGGAAGUGAGUCGGUAGAUUCUGAAGGUAACCCUGUUUUGCUGAGGUGUUGGAGAAAGGGUAUCAUUACAGGCAAGACUCCAAUCCUUAGCAAAAUCAAGCCGUUCUUUCAUAUAUAUAAAUAUAUAUAUAGAUAUUAUUUUAUUUUGGCCUGAUGAAAGGAGUAAGGUUAGGUUUAAGUUUACCUACUCCUGGAAGUAUAUUUGGUACUAAGAUCCAAGAUGUUAUUUUUGCAAGUUCAGUUCUUCUAGUCAAACUGAGUUAUACGUUUUAUAUUAACAAUGUCAAGGGCAAGUUGUCAAUACAUCCACUGCCAGUGGGAAUCACCUGCAGUGUCCAAAUAAAUACUGUGGUCCAUCUAGGUUACUGCAGCAGCAUAUCAACUUCGAAAUAUUUAGUAGGCUAUUUUCUGAAAAACUGGGUCUUGCAUUACUAGACUGACUUUGGAGAAAACCACUACCUGGUUUCAUGAACACAGACCUGGUUCAUCUCAGUAAGUGUGUGGGUGUAACUAAUAUUCAUAAGAUUAAGGUACAAAUAAAUACUGUAUAUGUACUAAUGAGUAUGUGAUCAUCUGUGUGUGUUGAAAGCCAUACCAGAAGUAACUCUGUACUUACCUCUGUUAUACUGUAAUUGUAUACGUUGAUUUCUGCACAAAUGUCAUCAAUGUAUGGUAUUAUUACUGUGAAAUAAUCUGUUUUGCUUUGUGUACAUUUCUAUGUUUGCAUGGUUUUGAUGUCAUUUCAGUGAAUUGAAGAGCAUCAAGUCUAUUUUCCCAUAACUGGGGGAUCUCUACAGUGCUUUGUAAAUUGUUUUAGUAAAAGCACAACUGUUCCAGUGCAAUUCCUUCUACUGUGUAGCCAUUUAAGCUAUGUAAAAGGUGGAAUUCAUUUCAUGCAAGAUUAAUUUACCCAAAAUGUAAGAGAACGGUCAAUCAAAACAUUCACGCCAUGCUACUCUGUAUAUCACAUAUAUCAUUUGCUGCCAAAUGUCACUCCAAACUCCCUUAACUGUGGAUCAGCCGUUAUUGCUUUUUUCAGAGGAAAAACUCAUACACAAAACAGGUUUUUCAGGUUUUUUUUUUUUUUUCCAGUUUUAACAUGUUACAAACAUGACCACCCUUUCUCUUCUGUGAAGCUGUGAGGAACUGUACGAUGUGAUCUCGUGUCAUGUGACGUUUGACUGACAGUGUUGUGCCCCUGUAGAACAGUGGUUCUCAAUCCUGGUCCUCGGGACCCCCUUCCCUGCAUGUUUUAGAUGUUUCCCUCCUCAAAUACACCUGAUUACAAUUUAGUGGGUUGUUAUCAAGCCCAUUAAUUUGAAUCAGGUGUGUUGGAGCAGGGAAAUAUCUAAAACAUGCAGGGCAGGGGGUCCCGAGGACCAGGAUUGAGAACCACUGCUGUAGAAGACAUCUUGUUGACCCACGUUUGCUUCUUCACCGAGUACUGUAUGCUUUGUGUGCCAUGCACUGUUGAAUAAAACGUUCGAUUCACAA